UACGUAGGGGGCUAGCGUUGCUCGGAAUUACUGGGCGUAAAGCGCACGUAGGCGGAUUGUUAAGUCGGGGGUGAAAUCCUGGAGCUCAACUCCAGAACUGCCUUCGAUACUGGCGAUCUCGAGUUCGGGAGAGGUGAGUGGAACUGCGAGUGUAGAGGUGAAAUUCGUAGAUAUUCGCAAGAACACCAGUGGCGAAGGCGGCUCACUGGCCCGAUACUGACGCUGAGGUGCAAAAGCGUGGGGAGCAAACAGG
rnacentral:rRNA from 1 species